GUUUUAAGUACAUAUUAAUAAUGAUAAUAUGUAUAAAAGUCUUGACCAAUUACGUGCCAGCAGUCGCGGUAAUACGUAGGAGACGAGCAUUAUUCAUUUUAAAUAGGUUUAAAGGGUACCCAAACGGUCAAUAUAUCUUAAAUAAAGAAGCACUUGACUAGAGUUAUAUGUAAGAAGACCGUACUUGAGGUGGAGAGAUUAUAUCCGAUGAUACCAAAGGGACUGGUGACGGCGAAGGCUGUCUUUUAUGUAAUAACUGACGUUGGAGGACGAAGGUUUAGAGCACUAACAGGAUUUGACACCCUAGUAGUCUUUACAGACAAUGAUGAAUGCCAUUAACUAGAUUAUAAUUUAGUUUUAUAAAUGAAAAUGAAAGCAUUUCACCUCAAGAGUAAUGUGGCAACGC
rnacentral:rRNA from 2 species